UUGACAAGCCCAGUCAUUCGAAAAAGAAGAAGUGAAAAUUUGCCAUCGCGUUUGUUUUUGUUUUUAUUAGUAGGAGAUAUUAAACCACAAGUAAUACUGUAUUCGAUAAACAAUGGACACAUUACUUAAUCCAGUACACAAAUAAAACAAACUAUUUAUGAUUCCGUUUCAGCGAAGCAAGGCUUCAGGUUUUUCAGGUUGUUUAUCUAUCUGAUCUUUACUUAAUAAGGAGAGUGAAGAUAACUAGCCUGCCGUUCUCCACCACAAACUGAGCCCAAGACUAUACUGACUGGGUCCUGACUGACAUCACUGGGCACCGCAGGAGAAAUGGCAUCAGUGAAAGACAGCAGUCAAACACUCCUGUUGAAUAUCAUCACGAAAGAUAAAGAGGAGGAAGUGAAGAUUUGGGAAUGUGAUGAUUAUCCAGGAGAGAGUCCAGACAUGGCAUCUGUAGAGCUGGCAGGCAGCAGUCAAACACUGGGGCUGAAUGUCACCAUUAAUGAAGAACAGAAGGAUGACAUUGGGGAAUCUGCUGAUCAUGGAGAGACCUCUAACUCCUCUGAGCAAGUGGAGACAUUUCCUGCAUCCGGGAAGAAACAUCAGGAAGGGACCAAAGCUAAGAGGUCUCGCCACUGUCCUCACUGUGAGGAGAGUUUCCCAUUCCCAUCAUAUCUUGAAAGACACCUUCGAAAACAUUCUGGAGAGAAGCCUUAUUCCUGCUCUGUUUGUGGGAGGAGUUUUUCUCAACUGAGUGGGUUGAACGUGCACCAGCGAACACACACUGGAGAGAAGCCUCACCGCUGUCCUCACUGUGAGGAGAGUUUCCCAUUUCCAUCAUAUCUUGAAAGACACCUACGAAAGCAUUCUGGAGAGAAGCCUUAUUCCUGCUCUGACUGUGGGAUGAGUUUCUCCCAACUGAGUGGCUUGAACGUACACCAGCGAACACACACUGGAGAGAAGCCUCACCACUGUCCUCACUGUGAGAAGAGUUUCCCAUUCCUAUCAUAUCUUGAAAGACACCUGCGAAAACAUUCUGGAGAGAAGCCUUACUGCUGCUCUGACUGUGGGAAAUGCUUCACAACAUCAAGUCAUUUAACCUCCCAUCGCCGAGUUCACACAGGGGAGAAGCCUUACUCCUGCUCUGACUGUGGGAAGAGUUUCCCAUUCCCAUCAUAUCUUGAACGACACCUGCGGAAACAUGCUAACCAUUGUGUUAUAUGAAGGUCAUGUGGUGGCAACCAGCACUGAACAAUACAUUUUUGGCCAGCAGUCAACCCAGCCGGCCAGCAGUCAAUCCAGCCGGCCGGCAGUCAACCCAGCCGGCCGGCAGUCAACUCAGCCGGCCAAACCACAUACACUGUUGUUCACUGGAAUCGUCAUUAAGUCGAAGAGGAAUCGGUUCAAGGAGUGAAGUCAGGAUAGAUGAUCCUUUCCUCCAAAACAUAUGAAUCUCAUAUCAUCUGUUUUAUAUGUGCCAAGUCUAUUGAGGGAGGCACAGGUUACAGGUUACAGUUUAGGCUUAAAGCCUGUUUUGUAUGAAUUAUUAAAUGUGGUGUCCAGCACAACCUAUGACAAAGCUUACAAUUAAUUAAUUGAUGGUUUGGGUUCUUUGAUCAGUGAAAUGAUCUUCUCCCAGACAUUCUCCUAGCCAAUAGCUUCAUCAUCAUCAUCAUCAGACAAAUACUUUACCCAUGAUUUAACCAUUUGGAAGAUAUUUUUGCUUUAGUAAUUGAAGAUGGAAAAUAAAUAGCAGACACCAAACCUCUGGACAAAUUUGUACCCAAUGGGACAUCAUAGGCACAAAGUACAGACUGUCGACUUAAGAUAAAGAGACAAAGUUCCUGGAAACCAGGGAGACCCUCUGAGUUAAAUAUAUCUCCUAGGUUUUUGAUCCCUUUUUCACACCAGGCUUUUGGCUCAAAUGGUUUAUUACCUGAAAGUAAUAGCCUUGUUACGCCAUAGAGGGGUAUAGAGAUGCCACUUCCAGUUACCACCUGGAAGUGGACAGAUCCAUGACAGAUCCAUGACAGGUCCAUGACAGAUCCAUGACAGGUCCAUGACAGAUCCAUGACAGAUCCAUGACAGGUCCAUGACAGGUCCAUGACAGGUCCAUGACAGAUCCAUGACAGAUCCAUGACAGGUCCAUGACAGGUCCAUGACAGAUCCAUGACAGGUCCAUGACAGAUCCAUGACAGGUCCAUGACAGAUCCAUGACAGAUCCAUGACAGGUCCAUGACAGGUCCAUGACAGAUCCAUGACAGAUCCAUGACAGAUCCAUGACAGGUCCAUGACAGGUCCAUGACAGAUCCAUGACAGGUCCAUGACAGAUCCAUGACAGAUCCAUGACAGGUCCAUGUAAACGUAACUGGUGCCAUAGACUCUGUCUGGAAGGAAUGGGAUGCUAACGAACGGCAGUAGGUCUGGUGUUUUGGAGUUUUCGCAGAGGUUAGCGUCUUCCGAAAUUUCGGAAGUAGAGGGGGACAUUCGAUUCGUCACUAGCAAAGAGAGAGAGAGAGAGAGAGUGAAGCUUCUCAUUUUCUAGAAUCUCUUAAUCCCUUUCUCUUAACACAUGGACCUAGAAUUGUAAUCGUGCAGCUGACCAAUUACACAACACAUUAGUUCUGGAUUAACCAACUAUACCAUUUACACACUUCUCAACAUUCCUUAAGUUCUUCACUGCAUUGGAGAUAAUAGAACUGUAAUAUACUAUAACAUGCAUUUCUUAGUAUACUAGAAAAAUAACACAUCUUUCAAUCUAAUAAGGGGAAACCAAUUCCUUUUCAAUAACUACCAAGAGACUGGUGUAGACUGAUGAACCAUGAUAUAAGUGAUUGACCAUUAAGACGUCCGCAUGCUUCCCAGCCUAAACAGGUCCUUGUAGUACCUCAAACUGGAUCUUUGCCAUUCCAUAAAGGUAUUUAUGUACAUGUUUAUAGAGUAAGUUUAAAUUCCUGCUGACUGUCGAAAGAGGAUUUUUAAGAUUUUGGGAAUGUGAUGAUUAACCUGGUAAUCGAGCAGGUUUUAUUACCAUACGUGACCUGGUCACUGAUAAUAAAAGGCUUUACCCUGAA